UACAGAGGUCUCAAGCGUUGUUCGGAUUCAUUGGGCGUAAAGGGCGCGUAGGCGGUGCGGUAAGUCACCUGUGAAAACUCUGGGCUCAACUCAGAGCCUGCAGGCGAAACUGCCGUGCUUGAGUGUGGGAGAGGUGCGUGGAAUUCCCCGGUGUAGCGGUGAAAUGCGUAGAUAUCGGGGAGGAACACCGGUGGCGAAGGCG
rnacentral:rRNA from 1 species